GUAUAGUAUAUGUUGUGAGCGUGCUUCAGAUCUCCGGAGAUAGCACAGUACGCUGUGUCCAGCCCAGAGGUGAAAGCCAUCCAAAGCAGAGUAACUGUGCUUUGCGUCCAAGUUGAUACCUGUGGAGAGGAAAGGAAAGAGAGAGUGAGUAACACAAGGAGAAACAGAGCGAACCCUGUACUUACAGUACGCUGUGUCCAGCCCAGAGGUGAGAGCCAUUCAAAGCAAACUAACUGUGCUAUUGUGCCCAAGUUGAUACCUGUGGAGAGAAAAGGAGAGAGAGUGGGUAACACGAGGAGAGAUCGAGGAAACCUGUACUUACGCCGCUGCCUGUGGAGAGAAAAGGAAAGAGAGAGUGAGUAACACAAGGAGAAACAGAGGAAACCUGUACUUACAGUACGCUGUGUUCAGCCCAGAGGUGAGAGCCAUUCAAAGCAAACUAACUGUGCUAGUGUGCCCAAGUUGAUGCCUGUGGAGAGAAAAGGAGAGAGAGUGAAUAACACGAGGAGAGACCGAGGAAACCUGUACUUACGCCGCUGCCUGUGGAGAAAGAGAAAGCGACCGUUGCCUGUGGAGGAAGAGAAAGAGACCGUUGCCUGUGGAGAAAGAGAAAGAGAGUGAGCACCCAGAGAACGAACUGUGUGAACCAGUACUUACCGUGAGCUGUAUUCAGCGAAGAGGAGGAAGAAGGAGGGCGCUACGGAUACCUAAGACUCAG
ensembl:lncRNA